UUACUUACCUGGACGGGGUCUUUGGGCGAUCAAGAAGGUUCAUGGCCUAGGUCAGUGACUUUCAUUGCACAUAGAAAGGGUGCUUACUUAAGAUCAGCCCAUUGUGGUUGAAUCUACGUCAUAAUUUGUUGCUUAGGGGGCCUGCGUUCGCGCGGCCCCUAC